UUCUCUUGUGCUAAAUACUGGGUUGGACUUUCAGGAUGCAGGACCCAUGCAGGAUCAGGACAACUGGAGUGAUUGAGUUAUGUUGUUGUAUUUGGCGUUGCCAGUUGCAGGAGAAAUUCUAGAAUACAUUUGUUGUAUUACAACCAAUUAAUGCAUGCAUGACAUGUGUAAUUGAGUUUAAUACAACCACCACUUGCAUGAUAGUUAACAAAAUAAAUGUACACAUGUCAUGAUAUUAUUUGUUGUUUUAUGACUGAUAUGGUACAACAAAUGUAUUCUAGAAUUUCUCUAGUUGCAUAUAUCAAGCUUGUAUGGUUGACUUUCACACCUUCAACUUUUACACGCACAAUAACUCAAGUAUUCAAGUUACUGCAGUUGUGAAUUAUAAUUACUUGCUUGUUUGGCAUCUUCAUUUUGGCCAAUUCAAAUGUCUUUGAUUUGUGUACGUGUUAUGACGGUUUGAUCUAUCAACUAUUCCAAGUAGAUAUUAUAUCAUUCUAUUUACUUGAGGUAGUCAAUUGAAUUACAUUAUUCGAUGUGACAUGUAUUAAUUAAUGGUAACUCUAGGCAUUAAUCAUGUAUAAUGUCAGUAUGGCACGAUUACCACAAAUUUAGUUACGGAAAAUAUUUUCAUAUAACUAACAGAGAAUGUAACAGAAUGACAUAAGUUCUCCCAUUUCAAAACUUUGAACUAGUAAUUGGUACUUUUUAUUU
rnacentral:lncRNA from 1 species